CACCCUGACGUACAACACACUACACGACUAAGUCAACCAAAUCAGACACUACCGACUGCUGUAAUUCGCCAUGUAACUUGUGAAGAUCUCAGAUUUUUGUUAUGUACAUUUGUACAUUAGUCUCCACCUACCGGAUUGGAAACCUUUAAAACCAGCGUCUGCGGCCAAAGCAGUGAGAACUGAACUGAGCCAGGAUGAGAGGUUUCACGCUGCUGUGCUUGGUCGGAUUUAUCGUCUCUGUGUCGGCGUUAACUGGGUGGCCAAAGGGCAGCAAGUCACCUCUAAGAGCGGAGGACACAGAAGACUCGGCUCCAACAAAGGCAG